rnacentral:rRNA from 1 species
GAUGAACGCUGGCGGCGUGCCUAAUACAUGCAAGUCGAGCGAACAGACGAGGAGCUUGCUCCUCUGACGUUAGCGGCGGACGGGUGAGUAACACGUGGAUAACCUACCUAUAAGACUGGGAUAACUUCGGGAAACCGGAGCUAAUACCGGAUAAUAUAUUGAACCGCAUGGUUCAAUAGUGAAAGGCGGUUUUCCUGUCACUUAUAGAUGGAUCCGCGCCGCAUUAGCUAGUUGGUAAGGUAACGGCUUACCAAGGCAACGAUGCGUAGCUGACCUGAGAGGGUGAUCGGCCACACUGGAACUGAGACACGGUCCAGACUCCUACGGGAGGCAGCAGUAGGGAAUCUUCCGCAAAGGGCGAAAGCUUGACGGAGCAACGCCGCGUGAGUGAUGAAGGUCUUCGGAUCGUAAAACUCUGUUAUUAGGAAAGAACAAAUGUGUAAGAAACUAUGCACGUCUUGACGGUACCUAAUCAGAAAGCCACGGCUAACUACGUG